rnacentral:rRNA from 1 species
AUUGAACGCUGGCGGCAGGCCUAACACAUGCAAGUCGAGCGGAUGAAGGGAGCUUGCUCCUGGAUUCAGCGGCGGACGGGUGAGUAAUGCCUAGGAAUCUGCCUGGUAGUGGGGGAUAACGUCCCGAAACGGGCGCUAAUACCGCAUACGUCCUGAGGUAGAAAGUGGGGGAUCUUCGGACCUCACGCUAUCAGAUGAGCCUAGGUCGGAUUAGCUAGUUGGUGGGGUAAAGGCCUACCAAGGCGACGAUCCGUAACUGGUCUGAGAGGAUGAUCAGUCACACUGGAACUGAGACACGGUCCAGACUCCUACGGGAGGCAGCAGUGGGGAAUAUUGGACAAUGGGCGAAAGCCUGAUCCAGCCAUGCCGCGUGUGUGAAGAAGGUCUUCGGAUUGUAAAGCACUUUAAGUUGGGAGGAAGGGCAGUAAGUGAAUACCUUGCUGUUUUGACGUUACCAACAGAAUAAGCACCGGCUAACUUCGUG